rnacentral:rRNA from 1 species
GUAACGCGUGAGUAACCUGCCUUUCANAGGGGGAGUAACGUUCUGAAAAGAAACGCUAAUACCGCAUGAGACUACAGAGCUGCAUGGCUCAGUGGUCAAAGGAGCAAUCCGCUGAAAGAUGGACUCGCGUCCGAUUAGAUAGUAGGCGGGGUAACGGCCCACCUAGUCGACGAUCGGUAGCCGGACUGAGAGGUUGAACGGCCACAUUGGGACUGAGACACGGCCCAGACUCCUACGGGAGGCAGCAUG